GAAGGUCUUAGUUAAUGGUUACACUCUAUUACAGUAGAAGGUCUUAGUUAAUGGUUACAGUCUUACAUUGUUUUCCCCACUGACUCCUGCUGGAACACAUGAGGUCAUAAUAAUAUCUUCCACUCUCUCCCUCCUCCUCCACUCUCUCCUCCACUAUCCCCCCCCCCAGGCCUGACGGUGAGAAGAAGGCAUACGUGCGCCUGGCUCCAGAUUACGAUGCGUUGGAUGUCGCCAACAAGAUUGGCAUCAUCUAAACGGCUGCCGGGGAGAUGUACAGAGGAAUAAAUGUUUAUAAAAA